rnacentral:lncRNA from 1 species
CUCUGAAAAUCAUCCUGUGACUAGUCAAUCCCAAGUUCAGUGGCAAAUCCUCAUCUUGACACAAUCAGGAAGAUGUCAAACUCCUCAGGGGCAACUGUUGGUGCGCGAGUCCAGCCUGUGCCCCAUGCACCACCACCCAGAGGCAAGGUCAGCAAAUCCAGACACAGCCAGAGGUGCUCAGAGCGUUGCCGCCAGCAUAGGAAAGAACGGGGACGGGGAGUGGACACCAUGCAACGAAGACAUUUUUCAUUGGAACGAUCAUUCCUUUUCCUGCUCUGGUGUGUAGCAUUUUAAAGUUUGCAAAGUUAUUUCGUGUUUGUUGUGUUAUUUUGCUUUGGAGCCUUUGUCACGUGCAGAGGAUGCACACCGGGCAGGUACUGGCCCCUUGUUUAUGGGGGGAAACUGAGUCUCUGAGAGACUGGAAGACCAGUCUCUCAGCUGGCAAAUAACAAUGCCAGCCCACGUCUUCCAGUGCCAAAUUGUGCAUUCUUUCUACAUUCUGGCCGGCUCUAAAUGAGAGUGACGAGCAUCAUUUAAACAAAACGGAUUCACUGUGUCUCCC